GAUGAACGCUGGCGGUAUGCUUAACACAUGCAAGUCGAACGGACUCUUCGGAGUUAGUGGCGGACGGGUGAGUAACGCGUGAGAAUCUGGCUUUGGGUUCGGGACAACCACUGGAAACGGUGGCUAAUACCGGAUGUGCCGAGAGGUAAAAGAGAAAUUGCCUGAAGAUGAGCUCGCGUCUGAUUAGCUAGUUGGUGAGGUAAAGGCUCACCAAGGCAGCGAUCAGUAGCUGGUCUGAGAGGAUGACCAGCCACACUGGGACUGAGACACGGCCCAGACUCCUACGGGAGGCAGCAGUGGGGAAUUUUCCGCAAUGGGAGAAAGCCUGACGGAGCAAUACCGCGUGAGGGAAGAAGGCUCUUGGGUUGUAAACCUCUUUUCUUAGGGAAGAACAAAAUGACGGUACCUAAGGAAUCAGCAUCGGCUAACUCCGUG
rnacentral:rRNA from 1 species